rnacentral:rRNA from 1 species
GAUGAACGCUGACAGAAUGCUUAACACAUGCAAGUCUACUUGAACUUCGGUUUGGGUGGCGGACGGGUGAGUAACGCGUAAAGAACUUGCCUCACAGAUAGGGACAACAUUUGGAAACGAAUGCUAAUACCUGAUAUUAUGAUUUUAGGGCAUCCUAGAAUUAUGAAAGCUAUAUGCACUGUGAGAGAGCUUUGCGUCCCAUUAGCUAGUUGGAGAGGUAACGGCUCACCAAGGCGAUGAUGGGUAGCCGGCCUGAGAGGGUGAUCGGCCACAAGGGGACUGAGACACGGCCCUUACUCCUACGGGAGGCAGCAGUGGGGAAUAUUGGACAAUGGACCAAGAGUCUGAUCCAGCAAUUCUGUGUGCACGAUGAAGUUUUUCGGAAUGUAAAGUGCUUUCAGUUGGGAAGAAAAAAAUGACGGUACCAACAGAAGAAGUGACGGCUAAAUACGUG